rnacentral:lncRNA from 1 species
GUAAGAUUGGGGAAGAUGCCAGGUGAUAGAAUCCACCCUGCCUCUGACAGCAUCCAAUCUGGAGCAAAGGCUUCUUUCAACCCUCCGCCAAGCUCCCAAUACAAGCCCAAAUUCUGGAACAAGUCUUUUCCAACACCUCCUUCAGAGAAACUCCCUGGCUCCAGGCAGGGCUUGCUCCCCUCACUGCAGCAGGAAGCCCAGCUUGCGAACUGCAGGUGUGCUCCAGGUGGUCACUGGAUGCAGGGUAUUGACAGAUGGAUCCCAUCGAUACCCCCACUGCAUAACCAUAGUGCAGUGAAUAGAAGACACUUCUCUGCACCCCAAAAGCUCCAUGCUGAUUGCGAGAAGGAAAUGCUGGAUGGAGGGGUUCCUGGAACU